AUUGAACGCUGGCGGCAGGCUUAACACAUGCAAGUCGAGCGGGGGAAGGUAGCUUGCUACCGGACCUAGCGGCGGACGGGCGAGUAAUGCUUAGGAAUCUGCCUAUUAGUGGGGGACAACAUCUCGAAAGGGAUGCUAAUACCGCAUACGUCCUACGGGAGAAAGCAGGGGAACUUCGGACCUUGCGCUAAUAGAUGAGCCUAAGUCGGAUUAGCUAGUUGGGGGGGUAAAGGCCUACCAAGGCGACGAUCUGUAGCGGGUCUGAGAGGAUGAUCCGCCACACUGGGACUGAGAGACGGCCCAGACUCCUACGGGAGGCAGCAGUGGGGAAUAUUGGACAAUGGGGGGAACCCUGAUCCAGCCAUGCCGCGUGUGUGAAGAAGGCCUUAUGGUUGUAAAGCACUUUAAGCGAGGAGGAGGCUACUUUAGUUAAUACCUAGAGAUAGUGGACGUUACUCGCAGAAUAAGCACCGGCUAACUCUGUGCCAGCCGCCGCCGUAA
rnacentral:rRNA from 1 species